UCCGUGGAAGAAGACAAUCUG
rnacentral:miRNA from 1 species